GACGAACGCUGGCGGCGUGCUUAACACAUGCAAGUCGAACGGAAAGGCCUGCUUUCCCUUGUGGAUUGCGGGUACUCGAGUGGCGAACGGGUGAGUAACACGUGAGUGAUCUGCCCCCAACUUGGGGAUAAGCCUGGGAAACUGGGUCUAAUUCCCGAUAGGACUGCAGGGUGGUGCCUGUGGUGGAAAACGAUUUUCUAGUGGUUGGGGAUGAGCUCGCGGCCUAUCAGCUUGUUGGUGGGGUAAUGGCCUACCAAGGCGGCGACGGGUAGCCGGCCUGAGAGGGUGGACGGCCACAUUGGGACUGAGAUACGGCCCAGACUCCGACGGGAGGCAGCAGUGGGGAAUAUUGCACAAUGGGCGGAAGCCUGAUGCAGCGACGCCGCGUGGGGGAUGACGGCCUUCGGGUUGUAAACUCCUUUCGACCGCGAGGAAGCCACCUGGUUGGAAGGGUGGUGACGGUAGUGGUAGAAGAAGCACCGGCUAACUACGU
rnacentral:rRNA from 1 species